ACGGAAGGCAGCAGUGAGGAAUAUUGGUCAAUGGGCGGAAGCCUGAACCAGCCAAGUCGCGUGAAGGAUGAAGGUAUUAUGUAUUGUAAACUUCUUUAGCCAGGGGGCAAUAAGGCGUACGCGUACGCCGAUGAGAGUACCUGGAGAAUAAGGAUCGGCUAACUCCGUGCCAGCAGCCGCGGUAAUACGGAGGAUCCGAGCGUUAUCCGGAUUUAUUGGGUUUAAAGGGAGCGUAGGCCGUGCUUUAAGCGUGUUGUGAAAUGUAGGCGCCCAACGUCUGCACUGCAGCGCGAACUGGAGCACUUGAGUACGCAGGAAGUAGGCGGAAUUCGUCGUGUAGCGGUGAAAUGCUUAGAUAUGACGAAGAACUCCGAUUGGGAAGCCAGCUUACUGUAGCGCCACUGACGCUGAUGCUCGAAAGCGUGGGUAUCGAACAGGAUUAGAUACCCUGGUA
rnacentral:rRNA from 1 species